rnacentral:rRNA from 1 species
CCAUGCAAGUCGAACGAUGAACCUCCUUCGGGAGGGGAUUAGUGGCGAACGGGUGAGUAACACGUGGGCAAUCUGCCCUGCACUCUGGGACAAGCCCUGGAAACGGGGUCUAAUACCGGAUACUGAUCAUCUUGGGCAUCCUUGGUGAUCGAAAGCUCCGGCGGUGCAGGAUGAGCCCGCGGCCUAUCAGCUUGUUGGUGAGGUAAUGGCUCACCAAGGCGACGACGGGUAGCCGGCCUGAGAGGGCGACCGGCCACACUGGGACUGAGACACGGCCCAGACUCCUACGGGAGGCAGCAGUGGGGAAUAUUGCACAAUGGGCGAAAGCCUGAUGCAGCGACGCCGCGUGAGGGAUGACGGCCUUCGGGUUGUAAACCUCUUUCAGCAGGGAAGAAGCGAAAGUGACGGUACCUGCAGAAGAAGCGCCGGCUAACUACGUGCCAGCAGCCGCGGUAAUACGUAGGGCGCGAGCGUUGUCCGGAAUUAUUGGGCGUAAAGAGCUCGUAGGCGGCUUGUCGCGUCGGUUGUGAAAGCCCGGGGCUUAACCCCGGGUCUGCAGUCGAUACGGGCAGGCUAGAGUUCGGUAGGGGAGAUCGGAAUUCCUGGUGUAGCGGUGAAAUGCGCAGAUAUCAGGAGGAACACCGGUGGCGAAGGCGGAUCUCUGGGCCGAUACUGACGCUGAGGAGCGAAAGCGUGGGGA